rnacentral:rRNA from 1 species
UACGGGGGGGCAAGCGUUGUUCGGAAUUACUGGGCGUAAAGGGCUCGUAGGCGGCCAACUAAGUCGGACGUGAAAUCCCUCGGCUUAACCGGGAACUGCGUCCGAUACUGGAUGGCUUGAGAUUGGGAGAGGGAUGCGGAAUUCCAGGUGUAGCGGUGAAAUGCGUAGAUAUCAGGAAGAACACCUAUGGCGAAGGCAGCUCUCUGGACGGUACUGACGCUGAGACGCGAAAGCGUGGGAGCGAACAGG